GUGCCCACUCUCCGCUGCAGCUGGCCUGUGACUAAUGGCGUGAGGCUGUAUAAGAGGACCAGUGGACCAAGGAUCGGCGCGGGAACUUAGUUCCAAAUGCGUACCCGACCUCCGUCGUCGUCAAGCUGGGAGGAAACUGUAGCUCUGACAACCUUACAUUGACUCAGCAGCACCACCUGUCGUCGUGCAAAUUACCGGUUCGCUGAGUCUCGAUGGGGAUGUGUUCUUCCAGGAUGCAAACUGACUUUUCCGGACAAUGGUAGAAGGCGACCCUCUAAUGGCAGCCAUGACUGCAGUGUGGCCCUCAAUGAAAACAAGUUUGACACCCCUGCAUUAGUAGAUCAGGCCCGGAGAUGAUGAUUUAUGGAGGAUCCCAGAAGAAUCUUUCUAUUAGUGAAUGAAAGGGCGGCAGAGAAGGCUGGGGAAGUGUGUCAGACUUACUUCCAAGGCAGUUUGAAUUGAAAACAUAUCUCUUGUGGAGCAAGCACUGGAUAUCAUUUUUGCCUGUGAUGCAAGACACGAAAACAUACACAUGUUCCCAGGCUGCUGCUACAAUGCAUUUUUUUUUGCAGACUUUAAGACUGUAAAAAAUGUAUGUUGGGCAUAUAAGCUUUUUUGCUUCUGCCUGUUUCAGUCAUGUUAUUCAUUUUUGAAUCGUGAUCCAUGUUUGAAUAUGUUUUUGUUAGACUGAAAAUAAACUGAAACUGAAACUGAAAAGACCAAAUUUCAAUGGUCCGAUCAACGUCACAACCCAACAAUGAAUCAACGUCGUCAAAAAGUGUGUUGUUUCAACAUUGUAUUUGUGUUGUAGAAUAUUGGUUGGGAAAAGACCAAAUUUCAAUGGUCAAAUCAGAGUCACAACCCAACAUUGAAUCAACGUCGUCAAAAAGUAUGUUGUUUCAACAUUGUAUUUGUGUUGUAGAAUAUUGGUUGGGAAAUGACCACAUUUCAAUGGUCCAUUCAACGUUAGAACCCAGCAUUGAUUAAACGUUGUUAAAAAGUA